rnacentral:rRNA from 1 species
UGGGCAACGGCGAACGGGUGCGUAACACGUGAGCAACUACCGAACUGUGGGGGAUAGCCGGCCUAACGGCCGAGUAAUACCGCAUAGCGCUUUCAGUGAGGCAUUUCAUUGAAAGGAAACCUACGGGACAGAUCGAGGGGCUACGCGGCCUAUCAGCUAGUUGGCGAGGUAACGGCUCACCAAGGCAACGACGGGUAAGCUAGGUCUAGAGAGGAUGGCCAGCCACAUAUGGGACUGAGAUACGGCCCAGACUCCUACGG